UUGGGCGUAAAGCGAGCGCAGGCGGAAGAAUAAGUCUGAUGUGAAAGCCCUCAGCUUAACCGAGGAACUGCAUCGGAAACUGUUUUUCUUGAGUGCAGAAGAGGAGAGUGGAACUCCAUGUGUAGCGGUGGAAUGCGUAGAUAUAUGGAAGAACACCAGUGGCGAAGGCGGCUCUCUGGUCUGCAACUGACGCUGAGGCUCGAAAGCAUGGGUAGCGAACAGGAUUAGAUACCCUGGUAGUCCAUGCCGUAAACGAUGAGUGCUAAGUGUUGGGAGGUUUCCGCCUCUCAGUGCUGCAGCUAACGCAUUAAGCACUCCGCCUGGGGAGUACGACCGCAAGGUUGAAACUCAAAGGAAUUGACGGGGGCCCGCACAAGCGGUGGAGCAUGUGGUUUAAUUCGAAGCAACGCGAAGAACCUUACCAGGUCUUGACAUCUAGUGCCAUUUGUAGAGAUACAAAGUUCCCUUCGGGGACGCUAAGACAGGUGGUGCAUGGCUGUCGUCAGCUCGUGUCGUGAGAUGUUGGGUUAAGUCCCGCAACGAGCGCAACCCUUGUUAUUAGUUGCCAGCAUUAAGUUGGGCACUCUAAUGAGACUGCCGGUGACAAACCGGAGGAAGGUGGGGAUGACGUCAAGUCAUCAUGCCCCUUAUGACCUGGGCUACACACGUGCUACAAUGGGCAGUACAACGAGAAGCGAGCCUGCGAAGGCAAGCGAAUCUCUGAAAGCUGUUCUCAGUUCGGACUGCAGUCUGCAAUACGACUGCACGAAGCUGGAAUCGCUAGUAAUC
rnacentral:rRNA from 1 species